rnacentral:rRNA from 1 species
GACGAACGCUGGCGGCGUGCUUAACACAUGCAAGUCGAACGGAAAGGCCCUGCUUUUGUGGGGUGCUCGAGUGGCGAACGGGUGAGUAACACGUGAGUAACCUGCCCUUGACUUUGGGAUAACUUCAGGAAACUGGGGCUAAUACCGGAUAGGAGCUCCUGCUGCAUGGUGGGGGUUGGAAAGUUUCGGCGGUUGGGGAUGGACUCGCGGCUUAUCAGCUUGUUGGUGGGGUAGUGGCUUACCAAGGCUUUGACGGGUAGCCGGCCUGAGAGGGUGACCGGCCACAGUGGGACUGAGAUACGGCCCAGACUCCUACGGGAGGCAGCAGUGGGGAAUAUUGCACAAUGGGCGGAAGCCUGAUGCAGCAACGCCGCGUGCGGGAUGACGGCCUUCGGGUUGUAAACCGCUUUCGCCUGUGACGAAGCGUGAGUGACGGUAAUGGGUAAAGAAGCACCGGCUAACUACGUGC